rnacentral:rRNA from 1 species
AGAGUUUGAUCAUGGCUCAGGACGAACGCUGGCGGCGUGCCUAACACAUGCAAGUCGUACGGGAUUUGGGGGCAACUCCAAGUUCAGUGGCAGACGGGUGCGUAACACGUGAAGAACUUGUCCGGUGGCGGGGGAUAGCCGGCCCAACGGCCGGGUAAUACCGCAUACGCUCGUGUGGGGGCAUCCCUGUACGAGGAAAGCAGCCGCAAGGUUGCGCCGACGGAGAGCUUCGCGGCCUAUCAGCUUGUUGGCGGGGUAAUGGCCCACCAAGGCUACGACGGGUAGCUGGUCUGAGAGGAUGAUCAGCCACAUUGGGACUGAGACACGGCCCAGACUCCUACGGGAGGCAGCAGUGGGGAAUAUUGCGCAAUGGCCGCAAGGCUGACGCAGCGACGCCGCGUGUGGGAUGACGGUCUUCGGAUUGUAAACCACUGUCAGGGGGAACGAAUACGGGACGUCGAAUAGGCGAUCCUGGGUGACGGUACCUCCAAAGGAAGCACCGGCUAACUCCGUGCCAGCAGCCGCGGUAAUACGGAGGGUGCGAGCGUUGUCCGGAAUCACUGGGCGUAAAGGGCGCGUAGGUGGUUCGAUAAGUCGCUGGUGAAAUUCCGGGGCUCAACUCCGGAGCUGCCGGCGAGACUGUCGGACUUGAGCACGGUAGGGGCAGAUGGAAUUCCCGGUGUAGCGGUGGAAUGCGUAGAUAUCGGGAAGAAUACCAGUGGCGAAGGCGUUCUGCUGGGCCGUUGCUGACACUGAGGCGCGACAGCGUGGGGAGCAAACAGGAUUAGAUACCCCAGUAGUCC